rnacentral:piRNA from 1 species
UGAGCUCAGUUGGCUGAAGUCCCUUGGAGC